rnacentral:misc_RNA from 1 species
UCUCCGUAGGUGAACCUGCGGAGGGAUCAUUACUGAGUGAGGGCUCACGCCCGACCUCCAACCCUUUGUGAACCAAACUUGUUGCUUCGGGGGCGACCCUGCCGUUUCGACGGCGAGCGCCCCCGGAGGCCUUCAAACCCUGCGUAACUAAGUCGUCGGAGUUUAAACAAAUAAACAAAACUUUCAACAACGGAUCUCUUGGUUCUGGCAUCGAUGAAGAACGCAGC